GGUCCGUUGGUAUAAUGGUAACACUACUUCGCUGAUGUCUUGUCGUAUUGCGAUGCGGCCGGCUGUCCAGCAUAGAAGUUACCGGUUCAAAUCCGGUACAGGCCA